AAAAGACCUGUAUGAAACACAAGAUGUCAAAGAAGCAGAAGGAAAAUUAAGCGCCAGCCUGGCUUAA
rfam:Myotis davidii contig164410, whole genome shotgun sequence.